rnacentral:misc_RNA from 1 species
AAAUGAAUCUGCCGAUUCUCUCGAGUCUCUGAAAAUGGGAAAGAGCUGGUGUGAUCGAAUAAUUUUCGAAUAUUUUCAAUUGGCUCAGGCGGCUUCUAAACGACUACAAACAAAGCCAGACAACGGGGAAUGCUGAUACGGAUACACCACUGAAUCUGCAGAACAUUGAGAAUCUCUAAAAAUGGGAAAAGGUGUGUAUGAUCGAAUAAGUAUAGAAUUUUUUCAACGGGCUCGGACGGCUUUUAAACGACAACAUACAAUGACAGGAUUGUCUUCAGAAAGAUAUAAUCCGCUCUACAUAAAUCCUAAAAAGUUUUGGGAUCAGCUACAAUUGGUGAUUGGUACCGAGGAAGAUGUUCAUAUUCGCAGGGAGGUUAACGCACUUUACGUGUAUGCUUUCUGUUUACCAUCAUGUCGUGAAUAUUUGUCAGGAAGUAAAGGUGAAGGAUUUUUAUUUCCUUGGAGUGAUCUUGACAUUAUGGUAUCUAAACUACCACCAGAAGAAAUCAGCAUGGAAUCAUUUCAUAAUGAUUGUGCGUACAUAGCAACGACAAAUGGUUGUCAACCUGGAUUCUGUAAACUAAUUCAAAGUUAUGCCAAGUGUGAUUAUUAUUCCAGAGUAGAGUUUUUACAACUGAAACAACAUGCGGGUUUUAAUGUGAACUUUGAUCAAACGAUUCGUGGGCCCUGUUAUUCAACGAAUUUUCCAGAUGGAUUUGACUGUUGUUAUGCGUUACCCGUGCAUCCAGAUUCUUCAAAUGUAUUCUUGAGAACCUUUAAAACAAAGUUUUGGAACGGUGUUAAAUUGGAAAUAAUGAACAAAAACAUAACGGUUAUGCAUUGUGUUCCUAAAGGUCCAGAAAAGGGAGACGAUGAUGGACAUCAAUGGCUGAUCUCGUUUUCAAUUCUUGAGCAAAAUAUUGUUCAUUCAUUAAACCACGUUCAGUUCUGUUGUUACGGAUUGAUGAAAGUUAUUAUACAUGUAGUUAUAGAUAUAUGUGCUGAAACUCAUGACACAGUUUCCUCGUACCAUUUAAAAACUGUUCUGUUCCAUGUCAUAGAAGAUAUUCAUCCCGAAUUUUGGAUUUCACAAAAUAUAUUUUAUUGUCUUCGUAUAUGCCUGACACGACUUUUAUUAUUUGUCAUGAGGGGCUACUGUUCAAGCUAUUUUAUACCCGAAAAUAAUCUUUUCUCAAAACCGAGAAUGGCUGAGAAUAGACGCAUUAUACAAGAAAAUCUUCUUGAUGUGCUUCAAUGUGAAAAUGCAUUGAUGUAUUGUAUUAUAUGCAUACAGGUUCCUUCAGAAAAAAAUGAAUUACAAAACGAGUCUCGCAAGGUGCGCACAUUCUAUUCAUUAUGCUUAGCCCUUAGAGUUGUAAAUGGUCACCAGACUACGUAUCGUGAAUGCAUAAAUUCCGUCCUAAAGAUCAUGGUUGCAUUACAAGGUGAAGAAGACCAGCUGAGGAUUGCCAUUCUGAAAUAUUUAUGGCUUUUGAUCAUGAGGAGAAUAGGAGUAAUUAUGUACGACAAAUUUGUGCUGACUGGUUUUAAAUCGUAUUUAUUAUCAGCAGAAGUGGCACUCAUGUUUGCACAACACGCAAAUAUUUUUGGUUCGAUCUAUUUGGCGACACUUUGGUAUUGUGAAGGAGGAUAUAAGCAAUGCAUUAAGUUGGUUUCUAAAACUAAAAAAAUCUACCAACCGGUCUUCUUAAAAAAACUGUGUAUUUGAAAUCCGUAGUAAAUAAAUGUAGAAAAGGACCGUGUAAUAAUACUAGUUUGUUUGAAAACCAUUACGUUAACUUGACUGUAGAGUUGCAUAGGACAAGUCAUCUAUUUCCAAAAGAUUUAAAAGAGCUUGUUGAAAAAGCUACUAUUUCCGAGUUCAUAGUAUACUAUAUAUCGUACGCAUACUUUUUAUUAUUCCUUUGCUAUUAUACUUUACACAAAAGAACGGAAUGCAUUAACGUAUAUUCGGAGUUGUUAAAAUCAUACAGAGAAUAUCCAUUUCGUUUAGCAGGUAAUUUGCUCCAACGAAACACAAAAAAGUUAAUAGAUAUUGCAAAUAUUAAGAUGAAAAACUUAAACUAGCAUGCAUAUGGUAACUGAUACUACUCCAUUUAACAAUAAAGUUCAUUGAUAUUAUAAACUAAAGUUAUUUAAAGUCAACUUUUCAAAGUAAGACUUAGAUGCCAUCUUUUAUUUCUAAGGUUUGAAUUAUGUAUUUAAUUUUAAAAUGAAUUAUUUGAUAUUUUAUACACGUCAUAAAAUUUAUUAAUUAAUCAGGUUGUCUAUGUAUAACUAAAUGUAUGUACUUUUAAUAUAAACACUGGUUUUGACAUUGCGAUGUUACGUUCUCAACUACUAUGCAUUUAUGUUUUAUUGUUUACAUUAGAGACAUUAAAGUGUCUAUAUUAGAACCGG